UUCGGGUCGGUUAAAAUGGUGACUCUGAAUAACCGAAGCGGAGCGUAUGGUCUCGUACCGACGCCAGAUCUUUCAAGUGACUGCUCUAUCAGCUUGUUGCUAGGUUAUGCUCCUAGCAAGGCUUCAACGGGUAACGGGGUAUCAGGGUCCGAUACCGGAGAGGGAGCCUGAGAAACGGCUACCACAUCCAAGGAAGGCAGCAGGCGCGCAAAUUACCCACUCCCAGCACGGGGAGGUAGUGACGAAAAAUAACGAUGCGAGGGCAUAUUGCUUCUCGUAAUCGGAAUGGGUACACUUUAAAUCCUUUAACGAGGAUCUAUUGGAGGGCAAGUCUGGUGCCAGCAGCCGCGGUAAUUCCAGCUCCAAUAGCGUAUAUUAAAGUUGCUGCGGUUAAAAAGCUCGUAGUUGGAUCUGGGCAGCUGGAUGUGCGGUGCGCUUUACAGCGUUACUGCUCGUUUGGCGCCACAAGCCGGCCAUGUCUUGCAUGCUCUUCACUGCGUGUGCUUGGCGACCGGAACGUUUACUUUGAAAAAAUUAGAGUGCUCAAAGCAGGCGUAUGGCCUUGCAUAAUGGUGCAUGGAAUAAUGGAAUAGGACCUCGGUUCUAUUUUGUUGGUUAUCGGAGCUCGAGGUAAUGAUUAAGAGGAACAGACGGGGGCAUUCGUAUUGCGGCGUUAGAGGUGAAAUUCUUGGAUCGUCGCAAGACAAACUACUGCGAAAGCAUUUGCCAAG
rnacentral:rRNA from 1 species